rnacentral:rRNA from 1 species
GUGAGGAAUCUUCCGCAAUGGGCGCAAGCCUGACGGAGCGACACCGCGUGGAGGACGAAGGCCUUUUGGUUGUAAACUCCUUUUCUGAGGGAAUAAAUUGAUGAAGUUACCUCAGGAAUAAGCACCGGCUAACUACGUGCCAGCAGCUGCGGUAAUACGUAGGGUGCAAGCGUUAUCCGGAAUUAUUGGGCGUAAAGCGUUCGCAGGCGGUUUUGUAAGUUUGCGGUAAAAUCUGGCCGCUCAACGGUCAAUGUGUCGCAAAAACUACAAAACUUGAGAAUGGCAGGGGCGACUAGAAUUCUGCAUGUAGGGGUAAAAUCCGUUGAUAUGCAGAGGAAUACCAAAAGCGAAGGCAGGUCGCUGGGCCAUUUCUGACGCUGUUGAACGAAAGCGUGGGGAGCAAACAGGAUUAGAAACCCGGGUAGUCC